ensembl:snRNA U6 U6 spliceosomal RNA
GUGGUCACUUCGGCAGCACGUAUACCAAAAUUGGAAUGAUACAGAGGAGAAUUGCAUGGCCCCUGCACAAGGAUGACAAUUUUGUUUUUUGAGAUGGUGUCUUGCUCU